ACCAAUUAUGCUAAUAAAUUGGCACGUUAGCACGUUAUUGCAAUAUCCCAUAGUACAUACAUGUUAUUAAAACUUGAACUAAUGCAUUGUGAGUCUUAUAAAUUGCUUACAUACCUCACCGAUUUCCCACUGUCUGGAAAACGCUCGGUUUAGUUCCUGUCUCCGCCUCCAAAAAUGUCUAGUGUAAUCGGAUUGGUCAGAUGACUACUCAACUGUUAUUGGUCAGCUGGGUUCGGCGUGUGUUUGAAAGGUUACGCCCCUGACUACGCGUGGGUUGACACAGAUUCUGACUGAGAGUCACAGCCUCAGAGGCAACGUAAACAAGCGUUAUAUUUCUCUAUAAACGAUGGUGUCUGUACUGCCUUACCACUUCGAGCUCGAUCCAGAGAGUUCAGAAGGCCGUUACGAUAUAAACGAUCUCCGUCAAUGAAUGCGAUUGGAUUUAACUUUUUUAGGUGUCCUUAGCUCUGCCAGAAUGCUAAACGAAGACGAAAAUGUGUUGCAAAGACAUCCAAAAGGUUUUAAGGAGAUUGCAACAGGUUCCAGGGCCUCUUACCUGCGUGAUUCAUCAUCCAGGUUUUGCACAAAUUGUCUAAAUCCCUACACACAGAACAUUUAUUGUACCGACUAUAAGCCUUUGAGGCGCAGGACUAGAGUAAGUUUUAUUACAUUUUUAAACCAAUAACACUAAAGUAUUAUUAUAGUAACAAAGUACCCAAAAGAACAAAAGAUGUAACUUUAAAGAAAAUAUAGUAGUCAGUCAAAAGUUUUUUAUUUAUUACAAAUAUAUAUUUAAAUGUUAAACAAUAUACAAAUAAACAUACUUUAGUAACCAUAUUGUGCUCUUCUUUCAAAAAUUGUUCAAUUCACUUCUUACAGCUAUCUAUUCAGAUAAAUGGCAUAUCAAAGCUUUGUCAGCUGAUGCUAUUUAAGACGACACUAUAUGGUUAUCAUCCUGUCGUGUGUUGUUCUCCAGAUACGCUUGGAGCUUCCCGAUCGGAAUGUUGGCUUCCGACGACCCCUGCACUGAAGAUGGCAUGCAAUCACGUCCUCCUUUGAAGGUCUCUCAAACUGUGAUGCCAGGUCCAUUGGAAUCGGGGUUUCCUUCAGCUUAUCUUCAAAUACCUCAGCAAACACAAGCCUGAUCACAUCAUCCACAUAACUGUACAAAUAUUGCAGUCAAUAAAUCUUUUGUUUUGAUAAUUUA